GAUGAACGCUGGCGGCGUGCCUAAUACAUGCAAGUCGAGCGAACAGAUGAGGAGCUUGCUCCUCUGACGUUAGCGGCGGACGGGUGAGUAACACGUGGAUAACCUACCUAUAAGACUGGGAUAACUUCGGGAAACCGGAGCUAAUACCGGAUAAUAUAUUGAACCGCAUGGUUCAAUAGUGGAAGACGGUUUUGCUGUCACUUAUAGAUGGAUCCGCGCCGCAUUAGCUAGUUGGUAAGGUAACGGCUUACCAAGGCAACGAUGCGUAGCCGACCUGAGAGGGUGAUCGGCCACACUGGAACUGAGACACGGUCCAGGCUCCUACGGGAGGCAGCAGUAGGGAAUCUUCCGCAAUGGGCGAAAGCCUGACGGAGCAACGCCGCGUGAGUGAUGAAGGUCUUCGGAUCGUAAAACUCUGUUAUUAGGGAAGAACAAAUGUGUAAGUAACUAUGCACGUCUUGACGGUACCUAAUCAGAAAGCCACGGCUAACUACGUG
rnacentral:rRNA from 1 species